GAUGAACGCUGGCGGCGUACCUAAUACAUGCCAGUCGAGCGAACGGACGAGAAGCUUGCUUCUCUGAUGUUAGCGGCGGACGGGUGAGUAACACGUGGAUAACCUACCUAUAAGACUGGGAUAACUUCGGGAAACCGGAGCUAAUACCGGAUAAUAUUUUGAACCGCAUGGUUCAAAAGUGAAAGACGGUCUUGCUGUCACUUAUAGAUGGAUCCGCGCUGCAUUAGCUAGUUGGUAAGGUAACGGCUUACCAAGGCAACGAUGCAUAGCCGACCUGAGAGGGUGAUCGGCCACACUGGAACUGAGACACGGUCCAGACUCCUACGGGAGGCAGCAGUAGGGAAUCUUCCGCAAUGGGCGAAAGCCUGACGGAGCAACGCCGCGUGAGUGAUGAAGGUCUUCGGAUCGUAAAACUCUGUUAUUAGGGAAGAACAUAUGUGUAAGUAACUGUGCACAUCUUGACGGUACCUAAUCAGAAAGCCACGGCUAACUACGU
rnacentral:rRNA from 1 species